UGGUCUUCUUUUGUUUUGUAGAUAUCGGUAACAGCAAGCUAUCAAAAUUUGCAAGUAUUUUGAAUUGAGGAAAAUUUGGGUACAGCAAGAAGGAAGAUCUUGAAUUACUAUUAUUUUACAGUAAUCAGGAAACUGGGAAAAGAGAUGAAAUAGCUUCUGACCUUGACAGUAACACAGCAUAUAAAGAGCAAGCAAAGGCAAAGAUCAUUUUGCCUUACUGGGGAAAGUUAUGGAAGUAAGGGAGAAGUCAGUCAAUGCAACAGAGAAGUCAGCAGAAGAGCAAAAAUCACAAACCUAGAGGUAGCUAGAGGAACAAUUGGAAAGAGGAUAGUUUCUGGAUUAACUCAAAAAUUCCAUUUAACAGCAUGAGAAGCAUGCUAAGGCAUUGCAGAAGCUGUUAGAAGAGAGGAAGAAGCAUUUGGAAUCGGUUUCCAAGAGAGCAAGCUUGAACAUGAUGUCAGACAAAUUGAAUUGCAGCUAUUGGAGAAUGACGCUCCUGCUGUUAAUGAUAGA